GCUGAAUGUAACAGGAGGAGACCACUUGAGCAGCUGCCAGGUUCCAGGGUGUGUUGAAGGCAGCGGAGGGGACGAGACAUUGAACGGUGCAUUUUGCCCCGGGAUUUAUUCACAUGUCUUCUUUUGUCACCUGCUUGUUCAAUUGUCUCUGAACAAGGAAAAGCGACACAUAUCUGGGUGUCUGAGAGCCCCGAGGAGCAGCAGAGCACUGGAGUCUUGGGCCGAAUCGGGAGCUGGCUCUCUCCAUGGAGGGGAAAGGCUCCAACUAGUCCCACUGAAAAUGCCUCUGCGAGUAGCGGUCAGGCUCUUAAGUCAGAGGAGGAAAAGGAGAGUGAGGAAUCUGUGAGACUCUGUGGGACAGGGACACGAGAGUCGGAGCAGGAGGAGGAGGGCCGACUAUCCAAUCGCAAUCCACUCCGUCCCUCCGGAGACAUUUUCCCUUGUGAAGAGGUGGACGCCACUCGGUCUGCCCACAGAGACGGCUCUGUUGCGAGCAGCGCUGAGAAAGCGGAUCCAAAGAAGGAGGAGCUGGUGGAGUGCAGGACAAAGAGAGUCGUGCAAGGCAAGCAGAGGGAGGAGAGCGGCACCGGCACAUUAGCCGGCGGGAC
ensembl:lncRNA